rnacentral:tRNA from 5 species
GGGAAGUUACCAGAGUGGCCAAAUGGGGCAGACUGUAAAUCUGCUGGCGUACGCCUUCGGUGGUUCGAAUCCAUCACUUCCCACUA